ensembl:lncRNA
CCCCCAUCUCUAGAGACACAGCUUCACCCCAUCUCUCCAGACACAGUUUCAUCCCCCAUCUCUAGAGACACAGUUUCACCCCAUCUCUCCAGACACAGUUUCAUCCCCCAUCUCUAGAGACACAGUUUCACCCCAUCUCUCUAGACACAUUUCAUCACCCCAUCUCUAGAGACACAGUUUCAUCCCCCAUCUCUAGAGACAGUUUCACCCCAUCUCUCCAGACACAGUUUCAUCCCCACAUCUCUAGAGACACAGUUACACCCCAUCUCUCUAGACACAGUUUCAUCCCCCAUCUCUAGAGACACAGCUUCACCCC